rnacentral:rRNA from 1 species
UAACAUUUCUAGCUUGCUAGAAGAUGACGAGUGGCGGACGGGUGAGUAAUGCUUGGGAACUUGCCUUUGCGAGGGGGAUAACAGUUGGAAACGACUGCUAAUACCGCAUAAUGUCUNCGGACCAAACGGGGCUUCGGCUCCGGCGCAAAGAGAGGCCCAAGUGAGAUUAGCUAGUUGGUAAGGUAACGGCUUACCAAGGCGACGAUCUCUAGCUGUUCUGAGAGGAAGAUCAGCCACACUGGGACUGAGACACGGCCCAGACUCCUACGGGAGGCAGCAGUGGGGAAUAUUGCACAAUGGGGGAAACCCUGAUGCAGCCAUGCCGCGUGUGUGAAGAAGGCCUUCGGGUUGUAAAGCACUUUCAGUUGUGAGGAAAAGUUAGUAGUUAAUACCUGCUAGCCGUGACGUUAACAACAGAAGAAGCACCGGCUAACUCCGUGCCAGCAGCCGCGGUAAUACGGAGGGUGCGAGCGUUAAUCGGAAUUACUGGGCGUAAAGCGCACGCAGGCGGUUUGUUAAGCUAKAUGUGAAAGCCCCGGGCUCAACCUGGGAUGGUCAUUUAAAACUGGCAGACUAGAGUCUUGGAGAGGGGAGUGGAAUUCCAGGUGUAGCGGUGAAAUGCGUAGAUAUCUGGAGGAACAUCAGUGGCGAAGGCGACUCCCUGGCCAUAAGACUGACGCUCAUGUGCGAAAGUGUGGGUAGCGAACAGGAUUAGAUACCCUGGUAGUCCACACCGUAAACGCUGUCUACUAGCUGUGUGUGCCUUUAAGGCGUGCGUAGCGAAGCUGACGCGCUAAGUAGACCGCCUGGGGAGUACGGCCGCAAGGUUAAAACUCAAAUGAAUUGACGGGGGCCCGCACAAGCGGUGGAGCAUGGUGGUUAAAUUCGAUGCAACGCGAAGAACCUUACCUACACUUGACUUGCUGAGAAGUUACUAGAGAUAGUUUCGUGCCUUCGGGAACUCAGACACAGGUGCUGCAUGGCUGUCGUCAGCUCGUGUCGUGAGAUGUUGGGUUAAGUCCCGCAACGAGCGCAACCCUUGUCCUUAGUUGCCAGCCUUAAGUUGGGCACUCUAAGGAGACUGCCGGUGACAAACCGGGGGAAGGUGGGGACGACGUCAAGUCAUCAUGGCCCUUACGUGUAGGGCUACACACGUGCUACAAUGGCAUUUACAGAGGGAAGCGAGACAGUGAUGUGGAGCG